ensembl:lncRNA
UUUCAGCCCAGGCCAUUCUGUAAUUCUGUGAUGUGUACAACUAUGAGAAUAGUGCCAUCUUUCCUUGCCGUGAUGCAGCGCAAACAGUUCAGCAUUUCUAACAAAAUGAGCUGGUGAGGUGGGGAGGCCGGAGAUAAACCCCCCAGAGCAGUGAAUGAACAGCUGGCACUGGAGGGCCCCAGCAGAGCUCAUCUCAGAGCAGCCACAGGAGAAUGAAGAGCUACAUGUUUCAUUGCUGUUGUUAUGACCAGUUUCAGUAGAUGUGAUAAUGGCCACCUAUGAGGAGAAAGCUACAGUUGUGUAUGGAUCAACGUCCAGGAAGGUAUGGGAGCUGCAGUUCGUUUAGUAGUUUUGAACACCGCACUACAAAUUGUAUGCCAAAGAAAUGCUUCCAUCUCACACUGUCCUCCAGACCAGAGGGAUUAUAUGGGCUUUCAGAAUCUUAUUAUACGUGGAGAAAUGCACAUAUCUUGCCUGAAGGACAUCUCAGAGAAAACUCGAGAACAGCUGCCUGGCAGAGGGCAGCGGUGGAUUCUUUGUGGACUGCUGAAGAAGGUUGGCACGAAUUACAAGGCUGAAGCACAAUCCAGAGCAGGAGGACAGAAGGGACGUCCCCAUGUUUGGAAUCAGCCUGCUCCACAGCUGGUGGCUGCAGCAGCACCAGAGAUGGGUGCUGCCAGGUGGGCGGUGGGACUGCUGCCCUACAGCCACGUCUGUCUGCCACCACCCCGCUCCUUUCCCAUUAGUGUUUCCCUCCAGAAUGACUGUGACUUCCAGGGGCACCUCUGGGAAUGUUUCUUUGGCACACGCACCAAAGGCACCUCUGAUUGUUUUGUUUGUUUCAAGAUGAGUUGUGUACCUGCUGUUUGCAGCCCCUGCCCCGAGGCCACGCUCACAGGCUGUCAGCUCCUGGAGCCGAGGAUCCGUCCCUUCACUGCCAUAGAAAGCAAAACCCCAACCUCGGUGAACUUUGGCAUAUUUUCCUAAUUGAUGCGAAUGAGAUGAGAGGGAAAACUGACUCCUGUGACCUCCACAGCAUAACUGUGUACUGUGUGUUGCAUGAAUAAAGGGGUGUGCCAUAGCUGCACAAAUGUGAACUGGCACCAUUCUACCCUU